CCUGUUUAUGCUGCUGAUCACUGAUUUUCUAUCUUUCUUCCAGCUUCUGUGGUGAAGCUUUAGGAUUAUUUGUGCUAGGGGGAUCCUUCCUGCAACUCCCCACAGGGAAUCAUUUAAGAAGCAGGGCGUGCUGAUACCAUACAGGCAUGCCUGGGAUUUCAGCAUGUCCUCUUCCCAAACGUGUGAAGGAGCCCUUAAAAACAGAGAACUUUCUUUGGCUGGAAGCAGAAGAGAGAUGCAGCAGAAGAAGUUAGAGAAGUUCCAAGUAUCAGAAGCAUUCAAUGCAUUGCUACUGGUUUCAGAUGUAGGACCUGUGUGCAAGGAAAAGAGAAAACUAAAGGCUAUCCCCAGCUGACAAGAAGGGAACAAUCACCUUAGUUCCACAGCUGCAAGGCAUUGGAUUCUGC
rnacentral:lncRNA from 1 species